UACGUAGGGUCCGAGCGUUUGUCCGGAAUUACUGGGCGUAAAGAGCUCGUAGGUGGUUUGUCGCGUUGUUCGUGAAAACUCACAGCUCAACUGUGGGCGUGCGGGCGAUACGGGCAGACUAGAGUACUGCAGGGGAGACUGGAAUUCCUGGUGUAGCGGUGGAAUGCGCAGAUAUCAGGAGGAACACCGGUGGCGAAGGCGGGUCUCUGGGCCGAUACUGACACUGAGAAGCGAAAGCGUGGGGAGCAAACAGG
rnacentral:rRNA from 1 species